AUUGAACGCUGGCGGCAGGCUUAACACAUGCAAGUCGAGCGAGCGGCGGACGGGUGAGUAAUGUCUGGGAAACUGCCUGAUGGAGGGGGCUAACUACUGGAAACGGUAGCUAAUACCGCAUACCAUCAGCUUUGGCCCAAUGGGAUUAGCUAGUAGGUGGGGUAAUGGCUCACCUAGGCGACGAGCCCUAGCUGGUCUGAGAGGGUGACCAGCCACACUGGAACUGAGACACGGGCCAGACUCCUACGGGGGGCAGCAGUGGGGAAUAUUGCACAAUGGGCGCAAGCCUGAUGCAGCCAGGCCGCGUGUGUGAAGAAGGCCUUCGGGUUGUAAAGCACUUUCAGCGAGGAGGCGUUACUCGCAGAAGAAGCACCGGCUAACUCCGUGCCAGCAGCCGCGGUAAUU
rnacentral:rRNA from 1 species